GAUGAACGCUGGCGGCGUGCCUAAUACAUGCAAGUCGAGCGAACAGAUGAGGAGCUUGCUCCUCUGACGUUAGCGGCGGACGGGUGAGUAACACGUGGAUAACCUACCUAUAAGACUGGGAUAACUUCGGGAAACCGGAGCUAAUACCGGAUAAUAUAUUGAACCGCAUGGUUCAAUAGUGAAAGACGGUUUUGCUGUCACUUAUAGAUGGAUCCGCGCCGCAUUAGCUAGUUGGUAAGGUAACGGCUUACCAAGGCGACGAUGCGUAGCCGACCUGAGAGGGUGAUCGGCCACACUGGAACUGAGACACGGUCCAGACUCCUACGGGAGGCAGCAGUAGGGAAUCUUCCGCAAUGGGCGAAAGCCUGACGGAGCAACGCCGCGUGAGUGAUGAAGGUCCUCGGAUCGUAAAACUCUGUUAUUAGGGAAGAACAAAUGUGUAAGUAACUAUGCACGUCUUGACGGUACCUAAUCAGAAAGCCACGGCUAACUACGUG
rnacentral:rRNA from 1 species